GGUAGGCUUAACACAUGCAAGUCGUGCGAGAAAGUAUCUUCGGAUAUGAGUAGAGCGGCGGACGGGUGAGUAACGCGUAGGAAUCUACCUAGUAGAAGGGGAUAGCCCGAGGAAACUCGGAUUAAUACCGUAUACCUCCUUAGGGAGAAAGAGGGCCUCUCUUGAUGCUCUCGCUACUAGAUGAGCCUGCGUAAGAUUAGCUUGUUGGUGAGGUAAUGGCUCACCAAGGCUACGAUCUUUAGCUGGUCUGAGAGGACGAUCAGCCACAUUGGGACUGAGACACGGCCCAGACUCCUACGGGAGGCAGCAGUGGGGAAUAUUGGACAAUGGGCGCAAGCCUGAUCCAGCCAUACCGCGUGUGUGAAGAAGGCCUUCGGGUUGUAAAGCACUUUAAGCAGGGAGAAAAAGUUAUAAGUUAAUACCUUAUAACCGUGAUGUUACCUGCAGAAUAAGCACCGGCUAAUUCCGUGCCAGCAGCCGCGGUAAUACGGAAGGUGCAAGCGUUAAUCGGAAUUACUGGGCGUAAAGCGCGCGUAGGUGGUUUGUUAAGUUGGAUGUGAAAGCCCUGGGCUCAACCUAGGAACUGCAUCCAAAACUAACUCACUAGAGUACGAUAGAGGGAGGUAGAAUUCAUAGUGUAGCGGUGGAAUGCGUAGAUAUUAUGAAGAAUACCGGUGGCGAAGGCGGCCUCCUGGAUCUGUACUGACACUGAGGUGCGAAAGCGUGGGUAGCGAACAGGAUUAGAUACCCUGGUAGUCCACGCCGUAAACGAUGACAACUAGCUGUUGGGAGACAAUGUCUUUCAGUGGCGCAGCUAACGUUUUAAGUUGUCCGCCUGGGGAGUACGGCCGCA
rnacentral:rRNA from 1 species